rnacentral:rRNA from 1 species
CCUACGGGAGGCAGCAGUGGGGAAUAUUGCACAAUGGGCGAAAGCCUGAUGCAGCGACGCCGCGUGAGGGAUGACGGCCUUCGGGUUGUAAACCUCUUUCAGCAGGGAMGAAGCGCRAGUGACGGUACCUGCAGAAGAAGCACCGGCUAACUACGUGCCAGCAGCCGCGGUAAUAA